UCUCUGAUAGCUCAGUUGGUAAAGAAUCUGCCUGCAAUGCAGGAGAAUCCCAGGUUCAAUUCCUGGGUCAGGAA
rfam:Ovis aries breed Texel chromosome 7, whole genome shotgun sequence.